rnacentral:rRNA from 1 species
UACAGAGGUCUCAAGCGUUGUUCGGAUUCAUUGGGCGUAAAGGGUGCGUAGGCGGCGCGGUAAGUCGGGUGUGAAAUUUCGAGGCUUAACUUCGAAACUGCAUUCGAUACUGCCGUGCUAGAGGACUGGAGAGGAGACUGGAAUUUACGGUGUAGCGGUGAAAUGCGUAGAUAUCGUAAGGAAGACCAGUGGCGAAGGCGGGUCUCUGGAGAGUUCCUGACGCUGAGGCACGAAGGCCAGGGGAGCAAACGGG